UGAGCAGGCCAGACAACAGCGGGCAGCGGCCGAAAGGCCCUGUCUGAGGAAAGUCCGAGCUUCACAGGGCGAGGGUAGCUGCUAACGGCAGCCGGAGGCGACUCCAGGGAAAGUGCAACAGAGAGAUACCGCCGGGCAGGGCCUUUGGCCACGGCCGGCAAGGGUGGAAAGGCGAGGUAAGAGCUCACCAGCGCCCGGGAGACCGGGCGGCUAUGUAAACCCUACCCGAAGCAACACCGCACAGGGGCA
rnacentral:RNase_P_RNA from 1 species